AGUUAUUUUGAAAUAUUUGAAAUUCGUAAUAAAAUUCACAAGUGAAGGGUCUAUAUUGAUUAUUGAGAAACCCGAGCAAUCUAUUACAAUUUUUGAAAGUUUUAGAAUUAAAAGAAUUUUUAAAUGGUGGGAUCUGGGUCCAAGAAUGGAAGCAUCUCAACCCGUUAUCAAAAACGCGAAGAGCCCGACAAGACCCGUUAGUUUCCCCUCUUCCGGCAGCUUUCCUGUGGAAAAUGGUUUAGAUUGACAGUGGAAAGAAGAC